CUCUAGUCUGGCACGGUGAAGAGACGUGAGAGGUGUAGAAUAAGUGGGAGGCCCCCGGCGCCCCCCGGUGUCCCCGCGAGGGGUCCAGGGCGGGGUCUGCCGGCCCUGCGGGCCGCCGGUGAAAUACCACUACUCUGAUCGUUUUUUCACUGACCCGGUGAGGCGGGGGG
rnacentral:ncRNA from 1 species